rnacentral:rRNA from 1 species
GGGCCCGCACAAGCGGUGGAGUAUGUGGUUUAAUUCGAUGCAACGCGAAGAACCUUACCAGGGUUUGACAUCCUGCGAAUCUCUUGGAAACGAGAGAGUGCCUUCGGGAACGCAGUGACAGGUGGUGCAUGGCUGUCGUCAGCUCGUGUCGUGAGAUGUUGGGUUAAGUCCCGCAACGAGCGCAACCCACGUCUUUAGUUGCCAGCAUUUAGUUGGGCACUCUAGAGAGACCGCCGGUGAUAAACCGGAGAAGGUGUGGAUGACGUCAAGUCAUCAUGCCCCUUACAUCUGGGCUACACACGUACUACAAUGCUACGGACAAAGAGCAGCAAGUUCGCGAGGACAAGCAAAUCUCAUAAACCGUGGCUCAG